rnacentral:pre_miRNA from 1 species
GACUAUCCACAGGCUGGCCGGCCCCCAGGCUGGGCUGGGAGGGUAUCUCUUCAAAAGGCUCACCCUCAAGCACUGCUAGCACA